GCAAGAGAUACUUCCACACAAUUGCCUUUCUAGAGUGCUAUUUAUUUUUUCUUUCUUUCCUUUUAUUAAAGACAGGGUACUUAUUCUAUCCCAGAAACUUACUAUAUAGACUAGGCUGAGAUCAAAUUUGUGGCAGUCUUCCAUUUUCCUAAGUGCUAAGAUCAAGGGGUAAGCUUCAACCAAAUGGGGGUUUAGAGUGAUGAAGUCUUAGACUCAUUGGCUGGGACAAUUCUAGGACCAAAGUGACCACCCUUUAGUCCUAUGGUACCAAUCCAUAAUCUGGCUCUGAACUGACACACAGUUUUUUACAUAACAGACAGCUGCUAAUGCAGUUAAGAACACUGGCUGUUUUUCAGCCAAGAGAGAUGGUACACAUCUUUAAUCCCACCCUCAGAAGGCAGAGAGAUAGGAGAAAGGUUUGAGACCAGCCUGAUAUACAUAGCAAGCUUUAUGACAUCCAGGACUACAUAAAGAUCCUAUCACCAUCACCACCAACAACAAAAAGUUAAAUCUAAAAAGCACUGACUGAUUUUGCAGAGAAACUGUAUUUGAUUCCCAUUACCCUCAUGGUGGUUCACAACCAUCUGUAACUCCAAAUCAAGGGAUUCUGAUACCCUCUUGUGGCCUCCAUGGGCAUUUCACACACAUGGCACACACACAUUCAGGUAAAACAAAGUUUAAUGAACCAAUCUUGGUAGAAAAGGCAGAAGUGGUAUACAUGUGAAGCUCAUCAUUCAAGGGAGAGUUUCUAUAAAAUAUUACUGACUGCCUGUUUUAUGUUCCAGGAAAUAAAGUGGGGUUGUAGUGUUGGAGCUCAGCAAUAAAAACUGGAGUAUAUAUGGGUAUACAUUAGUCUGGCAAAAAAUUUCCUGCCUCACAGUUUUAUGAAAAUGAUCAAUGAGUAAGCAAAGAAAUGGUAAGUAGCACAAACUACACAGAUAGCCUUUAGACAUUGCCAAACAUCACAGCAGGGAUUGAGCUAUACAGAAAACACUGACCUAGAGGGAGACUGUAAAACAGCCAGUGAAGACUGGGGAGCUCUCCAACACAUAUUCAUAUGGGUAGUGCGCAUGGAGAGUAGAGCCCUAGUCCAGUGUGUAUCCUCCCCUCACCCCACUUUGGUACAAUACCGGAGACUAAAUCUAGUGUCUUAGUAUGCCAGACAAGCACUCGCGACAGAAUCCUCUGCCGGAAACUUCGUAAGUUUCCUAGACUGGCCUUGAACUCAUUCUACAUAGCUCAGGUAAGCCUUGUCCUAGAUCCCCCACCUUAGCCUCCUAAGUACUUUAAGAUUACUAGUGUGUACCAGUAUUGCCUUAACUUAACUCUUGUGUUCCUUCUUCCCAACAACCAGUAAGAUUUACUGAAAACUACUGUCUCCAAAGAGAAAUUACAAGUAUGUUCAGGAAGCCUUGGUACUAACGGAAGUUACCAGCAGAUAUAGCAAGAGAAGCAGAUCCCUCUUUGUAUCUCACUUCGGCUGUACCAUUCCUCUAGAUUCUAGAUGUCUCCAGAGUCUAGACCAUCUUACAGAUAAGAUCUUGGAUUAACCUGGAACUCAUUAUUCACUGAAAUAACCUUGAAAAUUUGAUCCUCCAGCCUUCAUGCUCCAGUGUUGUUGGAUUAUAGGCAUAUAUGUCUACUAUACCUGUCAAAAAAAAAAUCUUAAGGCACGACUAUUUCAUACUAUUAGAAUAUAAAAUUGUUAAACUGUGAUAUAUAUGUAUACUGAAAUACCAGAUAUAUUGUGAAAAUCA